rnacentral:lncRNA from 1 species
UAGUUUUCCAAAAUUUCUGGAAGUUGAACUGUUGGCAUUAUUUUCUUCAGACUCGAUCAUUGCACAAAAAGUGCCCGGAAGAAGAUGUCUGAACCUUUAAUUUUGUUUGAGUGACAAGCUAGGACAAGAAGAUAGCACUAGUACACUGAAGGCUUCUAACAGAUGCAGCUAGCAAGUGGCCUUCCAAGUUGAUUUGAAAAUGACCAAAACCUCACUUGGUCUUUGGAACUCAAGCAUAAAAAACUCCAUAGAAUUUUUGGUUGGAAUAGGCCUCUUCCAUACUAGUUUGUAUCCAAAGAUAAUAGGUUCUGUCCCCCUUUGUUGCAGCUCUAUCUCCUCGAGUCUGUCAAAGAAACACUAGAAGACCAAAAUCAACAAAUGGAAGGGUACAUUUCAAAUUUUAUUAAAAAGUUAUUGUUGUUCCGUUUUUCGGCCUUCAUUAAGACAGUCUGUAUUUGAAUGGCAAUAACUUUAUGUCCAGUGAUCGGAAUGUCAAUCUAUUUUCUGGGUUGGAAGGAGGACUCUCUAAGCUUUCUAAUGGUAUAUGGCACGUACUCUGGAGAUAAGUAGUUUAGCAGGAAAACGGC